CACAAAGCAGGCACCUUACCUGGGCCCACACCCUCCUGCAGCCAACCAUUUCUGGACCAUGUCUUGGAUCGCAUCUCCUCCCCAGCAGCCCCAACGGCAUUCUGACCGGAGGCGCAGCUGGUGCCCUUCCUGCAGAUAAUCACCUUCUUGUUCCUCAUCAGAAGCUGGGGUGUACUCGGGGGUUGGGGAGAGUGACUCACCCACUUAGGACUGAGGCUGCCGGCAGACCAAUGGAAGGGUGGAUUCCUCGCCCAGCGUGGGAAAGCCUCGUGUGGGCUUCCUCCGCCCAGGCCCACAUCAGCCCCGAGGGAGGAUUCAGGGCUCAGGUGGACUUGGUUGGACGCUGACACAGGUGUCAGCAGUCAGAACCGUGAUCUGCAUCUGUUCACGUGGCACUGCCACCCUUGGAGUGGCAAUCGGGGUCCUGCAGAAUGGCCCAGCAGUAGGGGCACCCCUCCUGACCAGAGUUCAGUUAGCUGCGUUCCUUCUACUCCCCACCCUGCUCCCUUCUUCUGAGCACAGGUCGGGGCUGGAGGGCCUCCUCGGGUGUCAGUUGGGGAAUGAGUCUGUCCACCUCUGAGCAGCCCCUGCCUAUUUAGUGUGAGAGAAAACGGGCCUUAUGGCACAGCCUGCGGACCUGGAUUAUAAACGAGGAAGAAUUUCCUGCCCAGGAGUAUCAGAAAAUUAAAACACCAGCAGGAGGUGAGGUGAGAGGCAUGGUAUCACGGCCACCCCCUCCCCCUCCCAGCUGCCCGGGAGACCCUGGAAAGAGGAAAGACAGGACUGAGAGUCUCUCCUAGCUGGAAUGUUCUUUACUCCUGGGGGACACAGGGUGGGAACCCUAGAGAAAGAAUCAUUUAACCAUAGUGACAAAGCAGCAGGUUCCAGAAUGGACAGCCUUACAUUCUUGCCGGUGGCACAAACCCACAAGGGUCUGGCCCUACCGGCUCUCGUAGGCCCUGCCAGCUACCUUACUGGGGGCCUUCCUCUGGCCCUGUUGUUACCACUACCCUUGUUUUCCCCAGUCAGCCCAAAACACGGGGGGACGGGGUCUUGUGACAACUGUAGCUGUCGCUGGUGGGCUGGCGCCUUGUAGACCUUGGGCACCCCCCCACCGGAAGAUAAUCAUGCUUGCGGUUAGGUCCUGACACUU
rnacentral:lncRNA from 1 species